rnacentral:lncRNA from 1 species
GCAGGUGUUCCUCAAUGGCGGAGGUGACGACAUCGGCGGCAUCAGAGGGGCCAACCGGAGGCGAGGCCACCUCCCAUCUCUCGCGCGUGAAGUAGUCCACUUUUCGCCUCUGAUGCGGUAGCGAACCGAGGCGACAUAGGCAGUGCAACGAUCCGAUGCGAGCUGGGUGGCGACAAUGGCCUUCUCCGGUGUCGCUCUCCCUUGCCGGCUUUCUUCUCGCCGGUAAGAUCUCCCUCCUCUUCCUCCUCCUCCACAAAUUUCAUAAUUUCUAGGGUUAGGGUUCUUGGUUUUUGGGAGCGAGGCAGAAGAAGAGAAAGAAACAGAAGAGAGGAUCUUGGAUAAUGAAGAGGUGAUGUACUGAUGCAGGUUGAUGGUGGAGACUGGCGCUCGGAGGUGGGAUCAAUUCAAGGAGGAGGUGGAUGUCAUGGUGUACGAGGAGAAGAAGGUUGCGGAGAAGGAACAACAGUACAGUAUCUUCUUAGAUCCAGCCAAAGGCGAUGGCCCUAUUUCUACUCUGUUAUAGAUAAACUGUCCCUUUUUUUCUUCAUUGGAGCUCCACCGUUUUCAAUGAACUAGACUGUCACAUAGUAUUGAGAAAUACCAUCUUCAGCCAUUUACUUAGAAUGGAGUUAGGAUGUUGUUACUGUAUGACAAUGGUCAUCCCAUCAUUGUAAAUAUGCUCUGUUGCAGAAGGCACAUAAAGAACUCAUAAAGGGUAAAGUUCAAGAAAAUGUGAAAAAACAAGCCUCGCAGCAAAAAAUCAUGCCCCAAAAAGAAGCACAGAACAUUCAUGCCCAAGUAAUGUAAUCUUAAUGCACAAUGUCACCGGCUUGUUGAUAGGGAGUACAAUGUUUAGUUAGUUUUUGAGUUAUUUGAGCCACUGCCAUCUAGGGCAAUCAUAUUCUGAACAAAUCGAGAUUUAAACCUAUCAAUUAGCUAAUCUUGCUAAAGAACACAAAUGUGUCUUUUCUUAAAC